rnacentral:rRNA from 1 species
GGCAGACGGCUCAGUAACACGUAGUCAAUCUACCCUAUGGACGGGGAUAACCUCGGGAAACUGAGGAUAACACCCGAUAGAUCAUAAUGCCUGGAACGGUUUAUGGUCCAAAUGAUUCGUCGCCGUAGGAUGGGACUGCGGCCUAUCAGCUUGUUGGUGAGGUAAUGGCCCACCAAGGCUAUUACAGGUACGGGCUCUGAGAGGAGAAGCCCGGAGAUGGGUACUGAGACACGGACCCAGGCCCUAUGGGGCGCAGCAGGCGAGAAAACUUUGCAAUGUGCGCAAGCACGACAAGGUUAAUCCGAGUGUUUCCUGUUUAAGGAAUCUUUUGUUAGUCAUAAAACCACUAUCGAAUAAGGGGUGGGCAAGUUCUGGUGUCAGCCGCCGCGGUAAAACCAGCACCUCAAGUGGUCAGGAGGAUUAUUGGGCCUAAAGCAUCCGUAGCCUGUUCUUUAAGUUUCCGGUUAAAUCCAUUAGCUCAACUAAUGGGCCGCCGAAAAUACUGUAGAACUAGGGAGUGGGAGAGGUAGACGGUAUUCGGUAGGAAGGGGUAAAAUCCUUUGAUCUAUUGAGGACCACCUGUGGCGAAGGCGGUCUACCAGAACACGUUCGACGGUGAGGGAUGAAAGCUGGGGGAGCAAACCGGAUUAGAUACCCGGGUAGUCCCAGCUGUAAACGAUGCAGACUCGGUGAUGCGCUGGCUUGUGGCCAGUGCAGUGCCGCAGGGAAGCCGUUAAGUUUGCCGCCUGGGAAGUACGUACGCAAGUAUGAAACCUAAAGGAAUUGGCGGGGGAGCGCCACAAGGGGUGAAGCCUGCGGUUCAAUUGGAGUCAACGCCAGAAAUCUUACCCGAAGAGACAGCAGAAUGAAGGUCAAGCUGGAGACUUUACCAGACAAGCUGAGAUGUGGUGCAUGGCCGUCGCCAGCUCGUGCCGUGAGAUGUCCUGUUAAGUCAGGUAACGAGCGAGAUCCCUGCCUCUAGUUGCCACCAUUACUCUCAGGAGUAGUGGGGCGAAUUAGCGGGACCGCCGCAGUUAAUGCGGAGGAAGGAAGGGGCCACGGCAGGUCAGUAUGCCCUGAAACUUUGGGGCCACACGCGGGCUGCAAUGGUAGUGACAAUGGGUUCCGAAUC